AGUGAACGCUGGCGGUAGGCCUAACACAUGCAAGUCGAACGGCAGCACAGUAAGAGCUUGCUCUUACGGGUGGCGAGUGGCGUACGGGUGAGGACUACAUCGGAAUCUACUUUUUCGUGGGGGAUAACGUAGGGAAACUUACGCUAAUACCGCAUACGACCUACGGGUGAAAGCAGGGGAUCUUCGGACCUUGCGCGAUUGAAUGAGCCGAUGUCGGAUUAGCUAGUUGGCGGGGUAAAGGCCCACCAAGGCGACGAUCCGUAGCUGGUCUGAGAGGAUGAUCAGCCACACUGGAACUGAGACACGGUCCAGACUCCUACGGGAGGCAGCAGUGGGGAAUAUUGGACAAUGGGCGCAAGCCUGAUCCAGCCAUACCGCGUGGGUGAAGAAGGCCUUCGGGUUGUAAAGCCCUUUUGUUGGGAAAGAAAAGCAGCAGGUUAAUACCCCGCUGUUCUGACGGUACCCAAAGAAUAAGCACCGGCUAACUUCGUG
rnacentral:rRNA from 1 species